rnacentral:rRNA from 1 species
AUGAGUCCGGUCGUGGCGGCGCUCCUGGCUUUGGCGGUACUGGCCGCGAGCGCCAACGUGUGCGCGGCGCAGCUCCGGCGGGACCAUUACGCCGGCGUGUGCCCCGACGUCGAAGCCAUCGUCCGGGGCGCCGUCGCCAAGAAGUUCCAGCAGACCUUCAUCACCGUCGGCGCCACCGUGCACCUCUUCUUCCACGACUGCUUCGUCGAGGGGUGCGACGCGUCGGUGCUGAUCGCGUCCACGGCCAACAACACGGCGGAGAAGGACAGCACUGCCAACCUAUCGCUGGCCGGCGACGGCUUCGACACGGUGAUCAAGGCCAAGGCGGCCGUCGACGCCGUGCCACGGUGCCGGAACCGGGUCUCCUGCGCCGACAUACUAGUCAUGGCCACCAGGGACGCCAUUGCACUGGCCGGCGGGCCGUCGUACGCGGUGGAGCUGGGGCGGCUGGACGGGCUGAGCUCGACGGCGAGCAGCGUCCCCGGCAAGCUGGCCCCGCCAACGUCCAGCCUCGACCAGCUCACGGCGCUCUUCGCCACCAACGGGCUCUCGCAGACCGACAUGAUCGCACUCUCCGGAGGGCACACGGUGGGGCUGGCUCACUGCCGCACGUUCGCCGGGCGACUGCGGCCGACAACCGACCCGACGCUGAGCCCGCGGUUCGCAGCACAGCUGCAGGCGUGGUGCCCACCCAACGUGGACCCACGGACCGCCGUGCCCAUGGACACAGUGACGCCGCGGGCAUUUGACAACCAGUACUUCAAGAAUCUUCAAGGGGGAAUGGGCCUACUGAGCUCGGACCAGCUACUGUUCACCGACUCGAGGUCCAGGCCCACCGUUGACGCGUGGGCCCGGAGCGGUGCCGCGUUCGACCGGGCCUUCGUGGCGGCCAUAACAAAGCUGGGCCGCGUGGGAGUCAAGACCGAUGCGUCCCAGGGGAACAUACGCCACGACUGUGCAGCCUUCAACUGA